GCAGUAGUGACUCAGUGGUAGAAUUCUUGUCUUCCAUAUGGGAUACCUGAGUUUGAUUCCCAGCCAAUGCG
rnacentral:tRNA from 1 species